UGCGUAGGCGGGCUAAUAAGUCAGUGGUGAAAUCUCUCGGCUCAACCGGGAAACUGCCAUUGAUACUGUUAGUCUUGAGUUCGGUUGAGGUAGGCGGAAUGUGUAAUGUAGCGGUGAAAUGCUUAGAUAUUGCACAGAACACCAAUUGCGUAGGCAGCUUACUAGACCGACACUGACGCUGAGGCACGAAAGCGUGGGGAGCGAACAGGAUUAGAUACCCUGGUAGUCC
rnacentral:rRNA from 1 species